GCCCGGGGUUACAAGCAAUCUGCUCCCUAUACCUGCAUGUCGAGUCAGACUGUUGGUUCUCCAUUUUCUGUCAGUGUGGGCCACCUGAUCAGCGGAAUGGCCUGAUUUUUGUCCGAGGCGAUCUUCAAGGUGGAAACUAUUGUUUGCAUGGUACUGAUUUCUACACAAGUGGCGUGUUGGUAGGAAAGAUGGUUGAGUACCACAAGUUUUGGUACUUUGCCUGCAUUCGAUCGGUUCUCUUUUUUAGAAGGUAAGUUUUGUAUGUUCUGUCUGCUGGUGUAACUUUUUCAUUUAUUUCAUUUAAUAAACCAGUGGUGAUACCGUCUGCCUUUGCCACACAGACACGGAAAAAAAAAAAAAAACGUAUUUAAUGAUUAAGGAAAAAAAAGUUCCCUUGUUAAGAUGACCAAAAUGCUUUUCUUGUGCUGUUUUCAUUACAUCUCCUGGUUUUUAUACAAGCCCAGUCCUCACUUUACUUUUUUGGGUGUCCUUGUGACAUUUGAUAAAUUAGAAAUUAUCAUCCUCAUGAUAUACUUCCAUUCAAAUCCAUUUCACAGAUUGCAUUCUUAAACUGCCUAAGUACCUUAUUCAUCUACGACCUUGGAGCUUGGAAGCACAUGUUUGUGUGUUGAGAAAUGCUAAAGCGAUUCUUUCACAUGAGAUGAGACUGGAGAGGCAAUCCACAGAACAUGUUCUGAUGAGGUGCACAUGUGCGAGCUCUGGGCCAGUCAUCUGGUGGGGUGCACUGCGACGGCGCAGGUUCCAUCUUUAGG